CAUCCUCUGCGAAAGAUAAUUUUGUCUCCGGAUAAGAGGAUCUGCCCAGGAUGCUACGAAUUAAGUCAGACAAUAGGGAACAGGUCAUCUUAAAGUCUUACCAUGGACAGUGUUCUUUGAAAUGAGUCAACCAGCUAAAGGACCGGGUUGGCUCCCAUCACCACCAUACCUGUGCGAAGAUUUGAAUGUAACGGGCACUGCAGAGGGAGGUCUACCCUGGAUGAGAACAUCUCCCCAGGUGCUAGAUGUGCCUUCCUCCCCUACAGUAUUCAUGGACGGCAGGUCUCCCCAUCGUUCCUCACUGAAAAGUGCCACCUGAAGGGAAGGAGUUAGGUGGCCAGGGACGGAGCUCUUGUUGGCUGCUGCUUAUGGAAUUCAAGAACCACAAAAUCCUUGCUGAAGCCAGAGAGAACUGAAGUGGGGGCAUCAAAGAAAGCCAUGGUAACCUCGGAGCAAUACGAUUGUUGCAGAGGAUAGCACCCCAAGAGGCUAAUCACCCUGAGAGCUCAGUUCCCGCUUACAGCUGACUCCAGUCAUCCCCUCCCCAAAGCACUCUAGGCAAUUGUUAGGCUAAAAGCACCCCCUCCCAGUAACUUCAGAGAACCGGGAGAUGGGGGCUUUCCUGGAGGGGCAGUGGCGUCCAUCCAGAGAGUAUCUCUCGCUUCCCGGGGACCUGGAGCGGCAGCCUUCUCUCCGCCGCAGCCCUGGCCCGGAGCGCCGGAGGUGGCGGGGUGUGCUGAGUGGCACCACUCACCUCGCUCAUCCCGGCGGCAGGACGGGGCGUGGCAGGCGCAGGAUCUACGUUCUCUUUGCUGAGCCAUCAUCUCCUAUUGCACUUGAACAGUUAUGUCAACAAACGGUUAUGGCUGCAACUGAUAUAAAUGUUAUUUGUGACCCCUGAAGUUUGAAUUUCAUGUAAUUUCAUGGGCUACACUAUGUCUUCUUUUUAAAUUUUAGUGGGAGAGCUGGAGAGAUGGCUCAACAGUUCAGAGCACUUGCUGCUCUUCCGGAAAUUCCACGGACAGUUCCCAGAAACACAUCCAAUGACUCACAACCGUGUAUAUAACUCCAGCUCUAGGGUAUCUUGGUUCCCUCUUCUGGCCUGCACAGGCACCUGUACAAACAUGGGAACAUG
rnacentral:lncRNA from 1 species